CACCCCUCCUGGGAGGAGGACCCAGCGCAAUGGAAUGAGAAUCCACUAUGUUAACUGAUACACCAGAGGGGU